rnacentral:rRNA from 1 species
CCUACGGGUGGCAGCAGUAGGGAAUCUUCCACAAUGGACGAAAGUCUGACGCAGCGACGCCGCGUGAGUGAUGAAGGUCUUCGGCUCGUAAACCUCUGUCGGCAGUGAAGAACGGUCACUGUAGUAAUCAGCCUUUAAUUGACGGUACCUACAUAGAAAGCACCGGCUAACUACGUGCCAGCAGCCGCGGUAAUACGGAGGGUGCAAGCGUUAUCCGGAAUUACUGGGCGUAAAGCGCGCGCAGGCGGUAUGAUAAGUCAGGGGUGAAAUCCCUGGGCUCAACGGGGGAAGUGCCUUUGAAACUGUCAAACUGGAGUGUGGAAGAGGAGAGUGGAAUUCCAUGUGUAGGAGUGCAAUCCGUAGAUAUAUGGAGGAACAUCAGUGGCGAAGGCGACUAGCUGGGCUGCAACUGACGCUGAGGAGCGAAAGCAUGGGUAGCAAACAGGAUUAGAUACCCGAGUAGUC